UACGUAGGGCGCGAGCGUUGUCCGGAUUUAUUGGGCGUAAAGAGCUCGUAGGCGGUUUGGCAAGUCGGGUGUGAAAACUCCGGCUCAACUCGGAGACGCCACUCGAUACUGUCAUGACUCGAGUCCGGUAGGGGAGUGCGGAAUUCCUGGUGUAGCGGUGAAAUGCGCAGAUAUCAGGAGGAACACCGGUGGCGAAGGCGGCACUCUGGGCCGGUACUGACGCUGAGGUGCGAAAGCGUGGGGAGCAAACAGG
rnacentral:rRNA from 1 species